rnacentral:rRNA from 1 species
GACGAACGCUGGCGGCGUGCUUAACACAUGCAAGUCGAACGGACAGGCCCUGCUUUUGUGGGGUGCUCGAGUGGCGAACGGGUGAGUAACACGUGAGUAACCUGCCCUUGACUUUGGGAUAACUUCAGGAAACUGGGGCUAAUACCGGAUAGGAGCGCCUGCUGCAUGGUGGGGGUUGGAACGUUUCGGCGGUUGGGGAUGGACUCGCGGCUUAUCAGCUUGUUGGUGGGGUAGUGGCUUACCAAGGCUUUGACGGGUAGCCGGCCUGAGAGGGUGACCGGCCACAUUGGGACUGAGAUACGGCCCAGACUCCUACGGGAGGCAGCAGUGGGGAAUAUUGCACAAUGGGCGGAAGCCUGAUGCAGCAACGCCGCGUGCGGGAUGACGGCCUUCGGGUUGUAAACCGCUUUCGCCUGUGACGAAGCGUGAGUGACGGUAAUGGGUAAAGAAGCACCGGCUAACUACGUG